rnacentral:rRNA from 1 species
AGCGAACGCUGGCGGCGUGCUUAACACAUGCAAGUCGCGCGGGGAAAAGAGACUUUCGGGUCUUGAGUAGAGCGGCGGACGGGUGCGUAAGACGCGGGUGACCUAUCCGAGAGGCGGGGAUAACCCAGCGAAAGCGGGGCUAAUACCGGAUGAGCCCCCAGGCGGAAACGCGCGGGGGCAAAGGAUGCUACUCGAUAGUGGCAUGUCCUCACGGAGGGGCCCACGGCCUAUCAGCAGUUGGUGUGGUAACGGCGCACCAAGGCGAAGACGGGUAGCUGGUCUGAGAGGAUGGCCAGCCACACGGGGACUGAGACACGGCCCCCGACUCCUACGGGAGGCAGCAGUGGGGAAUAUUGGGCAAUGGGCGCAAGCCUGACCCAGCGACGCCGCGUGGGUGAUGAAGGCCUUCGGGCCGUAAA